rfam:Myotis davidii contig111011, whole genome shotgun sequence.
AGGCCCGAAGGGAGAGGCAGCAUCUGAUCCGCAGCCUCCGUGGCAACUGUUGAUCAGCUGUUGCCUCUCUCUUUGUCUCCU